GACGAACGCUGGCGGCGUGCCUAAUACAUGCAAGUCGUGCGGACUUUGCGGGAGCUUGCUCCCAAGAAGUUAGCGGCGGACGGGUGAGUAACACGUGGGCAACCUGCCUGACAGACUGUGAUAACAUCCGGAAACGGAUGCUAAUACCGGAUAGGCAGCGAAGAGGCAUCUCUUUGCUGAGAAAGGCGCUACGGCGUCACUGUCAGAUGGGCCCGCGGCGCAUUAGCUAGUUGGUGAGGUAACGGCCCACCAAGGCGAUGAUGCGUAGCCGACCUGAGAGGGUGACCGGCCACACUGGGACUGAGACACGGCCCAGACUCCUACGGGAGGCAGCAGUAGGGAAUCUUCCACAAUGGGCGAAAGCCUGAUGGAGCAACGCCGCGUGAGUGAUGAAGGCCUUCGGGUUGUAAAACUCUGUCUUCUGGGACGAACGAGCAGGAAAGGGAAUGUUCCUGUUGUGACGGUACCAGAGGAGGAAGCCACGGCUAACUACGUGCCAGCAGCCGCCGCCGUAA
rnacentral:rRNA from 1 species